UGGAACCAGACCUUGACCUGCCUCUCGGUGAGGUCCAGCAGGGCGGCGAUCUCCACGCGCCGCGGCCGGCACAGACCCAAUGGUGGUUGGGCUUCGGGUCACGUGACAGCCUCAGUGUAGCUGCGGAAGAGAACCCUGAAGUUUAGGUGGCCUGGAAGAAGCAGUAAUCGGCUAGGUUUGGGGGAGAAUGAAAGGGAAGACAAAAAAAAAAAAAUCAAGAUUUGGGGGAAUUUCCCACAGAGAUGGAAGGUGUGUCAGUUUGGGCGCUUCUUGGAUUCUACCCUGAGGCGGUGCGUGGUGAGAGGAGAGG